UACAGAGGAGCCAAGCGUUGUCCGGAUUGACUGGGCGUAAAGCGCACGCAGGCGGUCUUGCGCGUGGGGUGUGAAAUCUGGCCGCUUAACGGCCAGGCGCCAUCCCAUACGGCACGACUGGAGUGAUGCAGAGGUCGAUGGAAUUGCCGGUGUAGUGGUGAAAUGCGUAGAGAUCGGCAGGAACACCCAGGGGGAAACCAGUCGACUGGGCAUCUACUGACGCUGAGGUGCGAAAGCUAGGGGAGCGAACGGG
rnacentral:rRNA from 1 species